rnacentral:rRNA from 1 species
GUUUGAUCCUGGCUCAGAUUAAACGCUGGCGGCAUGCCUUACACAUGCAAGUCGAACGGCAGCACGGGGCAACCUGGUGGCGAGUGGCGAACGGGUGAGUAAAAGCAUCGGAACGUGCCCUGGAGUGGGGGAUAACGUAGCGAAAGUUACGCUAAUACCGCAUAUUCUGUGAGCAGGAAAGCAGGGGAUCGCAAGACCUUGCGCUCUGGGGAGCGGCCGAUGUCGGAUUAGCUAGUUGGUGGGGUAAAGGCCUACCAAGGCGACGAUCCGUAGCGGGUCUGAGAGGAUGAUCCGCCACACUGGGACUGAGACACGGCCCAGACUCCUACGGGAGGCAGCAGUGGGGAAGUUUUGGACAAAUGGGCGGAAGCCUGAUCCAGCCAUGCCGCGUGAGUGAAGAAGG